UGGUCUUGUUAGGGGUACCAUAUCUUUUCUCAAUUUGGGACCAUAUACUCUGUGCAGUAUCGGAAUACUGCACACUAUCAGCAAUUUGAGGAGACAGAGAGGAGGUCAACCAGGAAAUGACCAUGUUAUUACACCUAUCCCACGGUCUCUAUUGAGCCACAUUAGUGGUAGGACGAGGACAUGAACCGUCAACAAAUCCGAUUUUAUUAUUAGCAUAUAAAGCAACAAUCAUCUUACGCCUCGAGCCCCCAUAACCACUACCCGAGAAGGGAGUGGGAACAAGAGAGACCCCAGGGACAUCAGAGGAAUAUACAAAAAGGGGACUGGUAGAAUCUAUUGAGGCGGAGGCACCAGCAUUCGUAUUAGAAGCCAUAAUCAAACCAGAUAUUCACACACAAAACCAGAUAUUCACACACAAAACUAGAUACUCACAUACGGAGCCAGAUAAUCACACACAAAGCAUACAAUACUCGAGAUAAGGAAAGAGUUACCCUCCUUCUUCACGACCGGAGAAGAUCGGCCUUCAAUCAAACAGAGAAAACCCUAGGUGCAACCGUCGAAAGCCUUACUGUAAGUAUGGUCAGGGAUGUCGGAAAGUCACCCAAAACAUCCACUGAGUGAGAAUCGAGCCACCGGAUAGCAGUAAAACUCUAGGUUAAACCACCAGAAACC
rnacentral:lncRNA from 1 species